rnacentral:lncRNA from 1 species
UCUCACCCUCCUCUCGCUUCCCUCUCACUUUCUCUCUCCAAAAUCACCCGAUUCAUUCACUGCUCUUUCUUUCUCCUAAAACUUUAUCUCUCUACAUUCAUCCCUAUUUAACAACUCUGCUUAACUUAGGGUUUUCCAUUCUUCAAGUCAGCUUGAUUGGUUGAAAGUUAAAACUAUAGCUUCUAAAGGUAUCUUAAUGUUAUUGUAUUGAAAUGAAUCUUAUUGGCUUAGCUUUUUGGUGGUUAAUUGUAGCUUUUGAGCUGAAAAAUUUGUAAUGUAAGUGUUUUAUCCAAUUAUUACUGUUUCUUAUUUUUUUUGUUAAUUACAUAUCUAUUAUGUUAAUAUGCUGAUAUAUGUGUUAGUUGUCAAAACGUAGGAAAAUUUGACUAAACUUGAGCUGUGUGAUCUUGAUUUUGAUUGAUUGAAUUGGAUUGGAUUUAAAUACAAGCUGUUUCUUUUCUGUUUUAAUAAAUUUUUGUUUGAAACUGUAAUUCAGUUAAUAUUAGUUCCAUUAAGUAGAAGAUCUGUCAAAAUAAAUAAAUAUUGGGGAAGGAAGAAAUAAAUUUUGUAGCUAUGCUGUUAAUAUGAUAUUAUAGAAGAAGGGGUUAAUAUUUAUAUUUUUCUAAAAAUUCUGAUGCAGGGAAUUGAAGAUAUUAUUUAAUUGCUUUCAUGUUACAGUGCAUUUGAAACAGAAGCGCUGCUUAUU